AUGGCACGAGGUAUACCACUUGUAAUAUGUGGCCUGGACUGACUCAUGGGCAUGUGUUAGUGCACAAGCAUAAUUUUGGCAAACAUGAGUAAGCUAUCAUGGGGUUCUCAUGGUAAUAUAAACUGUUUCUAGUGAACUUGUUGAAGUGGGUCAAGAGUUGUCUUGUAAAAGAAGGGUGGAGGAUAUCAAAAGUAAUAUAUAGAACCGUAACACCAUUGGUUACCAUAUUGUGUUUGUUGCUUACUAUUCUGAUAUGUGCCAUGCAUAAUUUGAAGUAAUUUAGGAUGCAACAGAACUAUGCAUAUGCAUGAACUAGGAAAAUGGAGAAGGUAAAUAUUUAAUAGUAACUGCUGAUCCAUCAUCUUCAUCCAAAGCUUUUCAAAUCAAAUAUGGGAGGGGCUACAAAGCAAGAGUCUAAGUUGAGAAGCCUUGAUGGAAGGAAUAAGAAGAUCUUUUGACUGAUCAAUCUGAUGUCUACCCUCGAGAAAUUUUGGCAAGUAUACUACCAUUAAAAUUUUAAAUCUGUUUAUCAAGUAUAAAGAUAGGCCUUAUUGGUCACAGUCUAAACCAUGCCAUCACAGAGCAACCUCCAAAAUUUCAUCAGGCUUUGUGAGAGUUAAGGUGAAGAUGGAAGGUGAAAUUUUUGAUGUAAAGAAUGGUAUUUAUCUCUAAGGUAUUAAUAAGCCAAAAAGCCAAAGGCCCACAAUCCAGUCUCAUGAGACAAGUAAAACAAUGAACAUAGUACACAUAAGCUGAGUAAUAAUUAAGUCUGCUGAAGCUUAAGAUACUAAGACAAAUAAUACCAUAAUUAGACAAGUAAUAUGAAAUGUACAAGGUUUGUCAUCUGAAGUUUUCGGUGUCAUCCAUAAAUCAUUUUGUAAUUGAUUUAGUAAGACUUCAUGAAAUAACAAUUUUUCCAAACAAAUAGGUCAUCAUUCCAACUCUUCAUUUUUCAACAUUCUUAUACAUUUGUUGAAUUAUUGUUUCCAUUUUGGAUCCUUCUUUUUGUUUUGCAACCACCUUAAGAACACACAUCAAAAGUAUAAUUUAUGCUAGGAUGAAUACCAUAAAUGUGCUGAGGAGGUAAUUAUUGAAGAUGUACGUAUGUAAACAAAUAAAGUUGUAUAGAAAAAGAAAAACAAGCUAAUGAGGUGUAUGAAAUGACAAUGGCUGAAUUAACCUUGUUAUGGAUAAAAAGAUGGGGUUCAAACUCUAAUUUUACUUGAAAAUGACUGUGAGGCAUGAAUGUGAUUGAUCCUAAGAUUGGGUCUUCAACACUAGGCUUUACAUUAAAAAGAGGUUACAAUAAGCUCAAAUGACUAGGGGACUCUUAUUAUGUUUGUAUUUGCAUUUGCUGCUCACAGUCUGUAUUGACCUUCCAAAAAAUUAGUACAAGCAGAUACAAAUUGGCACAAAUCAAUGCGCAUGACAGUGGUAAAACCAUUAUAUUGCAUCCAUGUGUAGCUAGCAUGGCACAUUUCAGCACUUAACCCUUUCUUGGAUUAGGUUGGCAUAUUGUAUGUAGAGAUGUCGAGUCUCUGGGAAAGGCACAAGGAUUUAACUUGGUCUUACUCCAAGGAUUAACAUUAUGCCAAGAUGCUUUAAACUCAUUAUAAAAAUUUAUGCCAAUAUGUAGAAAGAUGGGCCAUGUUGUGAGCUGUAGAUGAUUUGACUGAUAGGAAAAGAAAAGAUUAAAUGCUAAUUUGGAUUUUCUAGAAAAUGCUUUGCUAGAUAAGAGGCUUGAAAGUUAGCAAACAAGAAUAGGAUAUAUAAAAUGUAAUUCAGUAAAAAUAGAGAUGAAAAUAAGGAUGGAGUCAAGGCUGAUGGACAGGAGAUACCAUAGAGUUAUUGAUCCAUUUUAAAUGUAAUGUUAGAAAAUAAGAACAAGGUCUGUAGUGUCAAAUGGAUCUGAAUGUUGGGCAAUAAGGAGGUCCAAAAUAAAAACAAAUUGGAUGUAGCAGAAAUGAAAAUCACAAGAUUAUGUGUAGCUAAAUUAGAAAGGAUAGAAUAAUAAAUGAGAAUACUAGAGGCGCUUUAGUAAUUGCACAAGUCAAGAACAGGUGAUGGAGAAUCAAUUAGGAUGGUAUGGCCAUGUAAAAAAAAAUAUAAGGGGGCUUUGGCAAGAGGGUUACCUCAAUCUUCAUCCAAAGAAAUAUGAAGAGGGCAAGGCCUUCAAUAACAAGGUUUGAAGUUGUGAUAAAGGAUAUGGAAAAACUUGAACUAACAUUAGACAUCACCCUAAAUAGGAGCACUUGGUAAAUGAGGAGUCACAAUGCUUUGAUUCUAGAUAGUUGGGACAAGGGUAUCUCAAUCAAUUUGAUGUAGGACAACACUAAGUUAUCAGCUAAAAUCAUAACACACUAAAUGUGUGUGUGUCAGCAAAUCUUCUGUUGAAAAUCUACUGCUAUUGUAAUUUGGCUUCUAGUCUAAGUAGUUCAUAAUUUAUAUGUUUUCUUUUGACUUCUAAGAAUCUAGGAAGUAAUUUUAAGGAUUUGAUGAAAUGCUGAUUCUUGUAUCUUUUAAAAAUUUUAUGCCCAGUUUUAACUGAUUCAUGAUGAUAUACGAAUAUGAAAGAGGAGG
rnacentral:lncRNA from 1 species